AACGCGAAGAACCUUACCUGGGCUUGAACUACUCGUGGUAAGCUGAUGGAAACAUUGGCUGACCCGCAAGGGAGCGAGCAGAGGUGCUGCAUGGUUGUCGUCAGCUCGUGUCGUGAGAUGUUGGGUUAAGUCCCGCAACGAGCGCAACCCCUAUCUCAUGUUGCUAAUCCCGCAAGGGAUGCACUCUUGAGAAACUGCCUUCGAUAAGAAGGAGGAAGGUGGGGACGACGUCAAAUCCUCAUGGCCCUUAUGUCCAGGGCUACACACGUGCUACAAUGGCCGGUACAACGGGAAGCAAUACCGCAAGGUGGAGCCAAACCCUGAAAGCCGGCCUCAGUUCAGAUCGUGGGCUGCAACUCGCCCACGUGAAGGCGGAAUCGCUAGUAAUCGCGAAUCAGCAGGUCGCGGUGAAUACGUUCCCGGGCCUUGUA
rnacentral:rRNA from 1 species